UACGUAGGUGGCAAGCGUUGUCCGGAUUUACUGGGCGUAAAGAGCGCGCAGGCGGUCGUUCAAGUCGCGUGUGAAAGCCCCCGGCUCAACUGGGGAGGGUCACGCGAUACUGAUCGACUCGAAGGCAGGAGAGGGUAGUGGAAUUCCCGGUGUAGUGGUGAAAUGCGUAGAUAUGUGGAGGAAUACCGAUGGCGAAGGCAGCCUCCUGGGCCAACACUGACGCUCAUGCACGAAAGCGUGGGGAGCAAACAGG
rnacentral:rRNA from 1 species